rnacentral:rRNA from 1 species
GAUGAACGCUGGCGGCGUGCCUAAUACAUGCAAGUCGAGCGAACAGACGAGGAGCUUGCUCCUCUGACGUUAGCGGCGGACGGGUGAGUAACACGUGGAUAACCUACCUAUAAGACUGGGAUAACUUCGGGAAACCGGAGCUAAUACCGGAUAAUAUAUUGAACCGCAUGGUUCAAUAGUGAAAGACGGUUUUGCUGUCACUUAUAGAUGGAUCCGCGCCGCAUUAGCUAGUUGGUAAGGUAACGGCUUACCAAGGCAACGAUGCGUAGCCGACCUGAGAGAGUGAUCGGCCACACUGGAACUGAGACACGGUCCAGACUCCUACGGGAGGCAGCAGUAGGGAAUCUUCCGCAAUGGGCGAAAGCUUGACGGAGCAACGCCGCGUGAGUGACGAAGGUCUUCGGAUCGUAAAACUCUGUUAUUAGGGAAGAACAAAUGUGUAAGUAACUAUGCACGUCUUGACGGUACCUAAUCAGAAAGCCACGGCUAACUACGUG